rnacentral:rRNA from 1 species
AGCGAACGCUGGCGGAAUGCUUAACACAUGCAAGUCGCACGCCCUGCAAGGGGAGUGGCGGACGGGUGAGUAACGCGUAGGAAUAUGUCCAGAGGUGGGGGACAACCCUGGGAAACUGGGGCUAAUACCGCAUAUGGGCUGAGGCCCAAAGCAGUGAUGUCGCCUUUGGAGUAGCCUGCGUCCGAUUAGCUUGUUGGUGGGGUAAAGGCGCACCAAGGCGACGAUCGGUAGCUGGUCUGAGAGGACGACCAGCCACACUGGGACUGAGACACGGCCCAGACUCCUACGGGAGGCAGCAGUGGGGAAUAUUGGACAAUGGGCGCAAGCUUGAUCCAGCAAUUCCGCGUGGGUGAAGAAGGUCUUCGGAUUGUAAAGCCCUUUCGACGGGGACGAUGAUGACGGUACCCGUAGAAGAAGCCCCGGCUAACUUCGUGCCAGCCGCCGCCGUAA